GUGGGGAAUUUUGGACAAUGGGCGCAAGCCUGAUCCAGCAAUGCCGCGUGCAGGAAGAAGGCCUUCGGGUUGUAAACUGCUUUUGUACGGAACGAAAAGGCUCUGGCUAAUACCUGGAGCUCAUGACGGUACCGUAAGAAUAAGCACCGGCUAACUACGUGCCAGCAGCCGCGGUAAUACGUAGGGUGCGAGCGUUAAUCGGAAUUACUGGGCGUAAAGCGUGCGCAGGCGGUGCUGUAAGACAGGCGUGAAAUCCGCGGGCUCAACCUGGGAAUUGCGGUUGUGACUGCAGCGCUGGAGUGCGGCAGAGGGGGAUGGAAUUCCGCGUGUAGCAGUGAAAUGCGUAGAUAUGCGGAGGAACACCGAUGGCGAAGGCAAUCCCCUGGGCCUGCACUGACGCUCAUGCACGAAAGCGUGGGGAGCAAACAGGAUUAGAAACCCGAGUAGUCC
rnacentral:rRNA from 1 species